UCCUACCAUUGCUAACAAAUAACCGUAAAUUUUCAUAACCAACCAGCACAUUAGCAAAACAAUAUACUGGCAUUUGCAGGACUUGAUUUACCUGCAACUCAACUAUUUACUCUGACUAUCCAACCAUUAACGAUGGCAUACAUACCCAUACAGAUGAACCACACCAGACAUACAGACAAGAUUAGUCGGAAUCGAGUUACCUGACAAACAGGUGCCACACAUUGCACUAAAAUAAAUCUUCUCGAAUGCGUUUCAAAAUCAGGUACGACAAACGAGGCCAUACUGAUUGAAUUUCUGGUACAUUCGGCAGAACGUUCGUUCUUCGCUCCUCACGAGCACGCAACGAAGAUGUUUCUCCGACCUUACCCCCUCAACGAGCUGUGCGCUUUUCAACGCGUUUGAAUUUGAGGAAGUGCGGCGUUCGCCCGUACGUCCAGCAUGGUUCUUCGGUACAGGUUAUGUUUUUUGGCAACAGCAACUAUUCAAAUCAACUGAAAGUUUUUUAGAAUUCAACAACUUCCAAUACUCAAGUGUCCAAGCUAGCAAACUGUUUAAUAAUCGUGACCCAACAUUCCUUUCAUGCGCACCCUCAGCGUCACAUAAAUCAACACUUUACAACACCUAUUCAAAGCUUCUA